rnacentral:lncRNA from 1 species
AAGGGAAGGAAGAAAAGACAGACACAUGGACAUGCGGGAAAGCUGGGAUUCAGGUGGUCUGGGCUCUCUGAUGGAGAAUCCACAGCAAUCCUAGAUCAGUGUAUUUAUUAUAUGUUUAUGUGUAUGUGUAUCUGUAUGGCACCUAUGUGUAUACACACGUAUACACAUAUAUAAGUUUUGAUGAAUUAGUUGCAUACACACACACAACUAAUUCACCGAAAAUCAAUGAAUAGAUUUGGAAAUGAAACAAGCAGCACUCUUGUGAGCUCAGUCUGUUGGUGGCCUUUUGAUCCAAGUGCACAUGUGCAGUGAAUUUGUGUGGCAUGUGUCCAGGUAUCUGUCCCCACUUCUCAACCCCUACAUAUUUACACAAAGGCUCUCCAUUCUCUACCUUCCUUUCUGUCCUGUUACCACCCUGGACCCUGUCCUCCAUGCAUCUGAUCUGCCACCUUCUAAAAUCCACACAAAUCCCAGCCUUCCUGGCUCCAACAAUUUGCCUGCCCAUUGCUUCUUGGCCUGGCUUUCACAAUCCUCUAUGAACUGGCCCAGCUGGUCUCUGGGGUCCCCCUUCCCAUCAUCUGGCUGCUAGGGAGUUUCCCACUUGUGCAUCACCCCCACACCAGGCUUCCACCCACUAGUACGGGUACCAUUUUGACUAGGUCUGCCAUACCUACACCAUCA